UUGUCCCCGCCCACAGCCCCCCUUCUGCUUCUGGGCACUCCCCCUUAACCACUGGGGAGGGGGCAGUUAAAGGAAUAUCACCACUCAGGUUUAUUAAGCACCGAAACCAUUUUUAAUAUUUUAAUAAUUAUAACAGGGAUGUACAACUGGAUACUCGGAUGCAUUUCAUGGACAAGUAUUUUCAAAGUCUAAAGUCUCACUAGUUCUCCAGGCUUUAUUAGGAAAUCAUUACUGCCCGGUCAUUCUUCCUCUUUCCCCAUGAUGACAAUAAAUCCCAUAUAGAAUAGGGGAAUAAUGAAAACCUGGAUCUAUUGAUGACAGCUAAUGUCAUGUAUGUACCUAUUACACUCGCUGGGUAUGAGUAGGUUUCCCCUGUCCCACACACCCCUCUAACCAUAUUCCACAUGCAAUAACAUCACAUGAAUGCCCCCUACUAAGCCUGGCACAAUGCAAAUAAACAGACAGCUAAAAUAAAACACAGAUUUGAAAUGAUCAUGGAUGGGGGGUGUGAUUGAAAGGGGCAAUCUAACUUUAAGGUGGGUUGCUCAUGGACUUGCCUACUUCCACUGAGUUUCUGAUUUCCCUGCAGAUAGAAAACAACAUGGGCAGGAUGUUUAUACAGCUGAAUGUAAACAUUUUCUCCAGUUCUUUAAUAAUAAAAAAAAACAGCUAAAACCCGGCUAGUCUCAUUAGUGCUCCUUUCUGAGGCAUAGAAACCGUGCUUUGUGUCUUCCCUGUUGUUUGUUUCACUCUGAUUUUAUUUCUAAAGCGGAGAGCACAGGGCUGUGAUGGCUACCUUCUUUUUCAUCUUCUUCUUCUUCUUCAAAGCAAUCUGCUCAGCUCGGAGAUAGACAUCAAGGUAAUCGUGGGCUCCACUAGAUCCUAGGACACAGGAACCAACUGCUGAAAUCCAAUGGAAUCAAACGGAUUCGUAUAUACUUAAUUGUAGAAUAAAACAUUGAACAUAUCAAAUCUGAACAUACGAACAAGCCUAUUAAUAUUAUUAAAACCAGUUAUUUAUCAGGAAAAGCAAUAUUAGAGGAAUAUUUAUUUUUUGUUUAAUUAAAUAAAAUUGAUUGAAAUGUUUGUAGUGCGCAAAUUCUAAUGACAACGUGACAUCCAAUUUGCCAUAAUGUCAAUUAACCUGUUUUUUUUUUUAUUAGACUUUUACGUUUAUCUCAUUUAUAUUAAACGUUGAAUGUAAAGUUCAUAGAAGAGAGAAAAUAGUUGCAAUCUGAAAUGUCGUCUUCAGAUGUAAUUUGACAAGAUAUUCAAGCGCUGAAAUAAAGUUUUAUGUUUCUAA